GUUGCUAUAGAAACAAUGUUCUGUUGAUUGUCACUUGUGUCAUAGAAAAUAAAAAGAGCUAUCCAUUGUGUAUUCCUACUGUUGUAAUAAAUUAAUUUCGUGGACAAAUCUAUCUUCUAUUUUUCUACUGUAAAAUCACACUCAGCCACACGCUCACACACGUCUGACAUUGAAAAGACAGGGAUUUUUCUUGUUUUGACGUAUUUUCUAACCUCUUAGAAUGUUAUUAGAAGUCGUAAUAAAAUAAUUUGAAUAUAAAGCUAUGUUUUAAAGUAAAUAAAGACCAUUUAACGAUGUUAACAUGAUGAGACAUCGAUUUUAUGGAAUGGAGGAGAAGAUUUAACAGCUAGAAAUUAACAAAAAUCCUGCAAGAGCAUCGAGAUCUCGCUUUUGGCGAGUGGAAGUCCAAAGGCAAAGUGCAGCGGUUUGCAGUUCUUAGCCUCACUUUUUUGGACCUAACAAGACAGGAAAAGAAUAGUCAAAGAGGAAACCCGAGUAGCCAGAUGAUAAUAUAUUAAACCAUGAGCAGCCA